CAGCUGAAUCAACUGCUUUCCCCUUUGUUUGCCAUUAUUGGUGGUCAGAUGUGGUGGCCAGGAGAAGGCUCUGGAAUGUUCACCAACUCACAGGGUAAGCCAGCCCUGCUGAAUUUGUGGGUCAUCCUGCUCCUACCUUGGAUUUCUUAAAGUUCUGCCCUGGUGACACAGCAGUUGAAAGAAAGCAGUCAGUGUUGUGGACUGGGCUGGAAAGUCAUCCCCAAAUUGUAAACCAAGGUUCUGAGGCUGCUAACGAGAAAGGUGCACACGUGCCUUUCUGCUGGUACAAUGAGACUACUUGCUAAACUUCUUUCCAGCACAAGCUCUUGCCACAUACCCACAAAGAACGGCUGCCAAGGCUGCUAGCUAAGCACUUCCCCAGAGUGUCUUCAACAAGAAGAAGUCAUGAACAUCCACUCUGCUGACAGAUUUUUUCCCUUCAGCUAAAGUUAAAAGAAGCAGUUUAACUUGUCAUGUAAGUUCAAAAAAUUGAUGAUGUUUAAGCAGCAAUGAAAAAUCUUGCUGAUGAUAAGACAACAGCAUAGCCAUAGGAAAGCCCCUUAAUCAAGUCAUUGGCUCACCUGACCUCUGCAUCCACACUACAGAAAGAAUCCAGUUUGACAGCACCUUAACUGCCA